rnacentral:lncRNA from 1 species
UCCCUCUUUCGGCCGACGAUCUUCUCUCGUGUUUUCAGGCGUGGGUCUCAGUUGCUGCAGCGGCGGUUUUGGCUCCAGAUUUGGUUAGUUUAAGGCGGUUUUUCGGCAGCUCACGGCAAGAUCCGACCCGACGGUAGACACGGUAAUCCCCCUCCAUUGUGUCUUUAUUUUAUCCUUACUUUCUCUCUCUUCUUUCUCCUUUUCUUCUCUCUUUUUCUUCUCUAUUUUCUUUUUCUCUUUCGUUUCGGUCGGCGUUUUCCUUGGUAAUUUCCGGCGUCGGUUUGGUGGCUGUAGCCGCGGCAGUCGACGUCAGUUCAGUGGCUGCAGUCGCGGCAGCCGGCGUCGUUUCGAUGGCUGCAGUCCCCCCCAUCUGUGUUGUCUUCUCCAUUCUUCGUUCUCUUUUCUUUUUUUUUUUUAAUUUUCGAUGGCUUUCUCCCUUGGUGGUUUCUGACGUCCUUCUCGCGAUCUCCGGUUUUUGGUGGUUACAGCCAUGACAGCCGAUGCCGGUUGCUGCAGUUUCUUCGUUCUUCAUUAUUAUUAUUUUUUUAUAUUUAUAAAUAAAAUAAAUUGGCUAAUUUCAUUUGUGCUUGAAUAAAUAAAAUAAAUUUACAGCUUCUUCGUUCUUCACGCCAUUGGUUUUUAUAUUUGCAUAUUCUUACUUACUGUUUUUGGUUGCUUGCAGCUUUAUCUCCCCACAAUUACCAAUCCUGAUCCGUC